AACUGUAACACAGGGAGCUGACUGGAAGCACCUCACUGUCCUGUUAAGGCCAAGCUGGCAGUGAUGCUCAACCCUAGAGGAAAAAUUCAUCACUUAUGUCACUCCAACUGCACCUAUGGCUUCAUACCGUCACGUAUCCUGUUCUAAGCUUGACCUGGCCAGGGUUGUCCUUGCACUUGAUGAAAAGCACCACCAUACAGCAUCACCAAAGAAGUUUCUCCCAGCACCAUCUUUCCAGCUGGCUGGAUACUGGGGCCAAGUGACUGCUGGGAUUCAGCAGAGCUUUCCUGCAGAAAAAGGAUAGCCUUUAUUUGAAGGUGGGGGGCAGCAAGAUCGAUUGCCUUAACUUCAGUUGUUAUGCAGGGAAAUAAUUGUCAUCCCAGAAAGACACUACGCAUCUGAGGGCCUUUGGAGUAGGUCCAGAGGAGUGGAGCAAGAGCAAGCUCAGGGAAAUAUGAUCCAUGAAGAAACCCCAAACUGAGGCUGUUCAGCUCCUAGAAAUGAACACUGACAACAAACAUGGUCAUGGUGUUUGUUCCCCUGCUGAAAAUCCUGGUGAAAAAGAGCAAAGAGAUUCAUCCUCUCCAAACAGAGAGAGUAGAAAAAUUAAUUAUAGGCUUGAGCUGCCAAAAGGUGGAAUUAGGCUGGAUGUAGCAGCUUUUUUUUCAGAGAUGGUUAUGGGAAGGUACCACAACUAUGAUAGAGAGAGAUAUAAAGGGAGAUUAGACAGAAAUAGUUUUUCUACUUUGGAGAUGCAUCUGAAGUGUUUACACACCCUUUGACUGUAUUUUCUCCUAACAACUCUUUCCUUUUCCCUUACCAGUAACUCAUUGCAUUUCUUCCUACUCUAACACUUCCAAAUAAAGAUUUAUUGCCUUCCAUAAAAGGUAUUUACCAGUGUGUUGCUCCUUUCCUAUACUUCCACUUCCCUUUUGCAGUUCUAAUCUCUCAGUUGCAGCUAUCUAUGAAGAUGUAAUCAAUAAAUGAAAAUAAAUUGAAAAAAUACAAUGUGAGGAGGUGAAUUGGAUUUUUGGUGGCCUGCCAGCUGGCCUUUGGAUUUGCAUUUACAAGUCUCUCAUAAUCAGCUAUUUCCUGAUUUACAUCUUGUACUUAAACCCAAACUGAUGGUCUUAAACUUGGUGUCAAUGUUUUAGCAGUAGCUAUGUGCAUAAGAGUUUUGUAGUUAUAACUGCUUUAUUUUAUAUUUUUCUGAUGAGAUUAACAUUUUGCUGUCAUUUUUGCCCACAAGUUCCUUGGCUUUUACAGUGAUGAGGAGCUUGGAGACAAUUCCAUACUUACAUUAUGCUAAUUCCAAAACUGUUUCAUGUAAACUAAAUAAACUCUCCUCACAUGAGGUACAGAACGGGCAUCCUUCCCAGAGAGUGUCCUAAUGGACUAGCUUCUUUUGAUUGUCUUUAAUUCUUUCCCUUUCCCUUUUUCAUCAUACUUUGCCUCUUACUCUCUAGUUUGAUGAAUUUUGUUCUUGGUGAUAGACCUGCUUCAAUAAAAAGAUAAGAAAAUAUUCUGAAUAAGGGUUUGCAUGGUAGAUAAGGCAUUUUUUUUUCAAGGAGGAGGGCUUUCAAUAAAAGAGGCAGAAGAUAGACUUCAGAUCCAGUGGGCUUCCCAUCACCAAGCUAUUGUAGAAAUGGGAAGGAAGACCACCUCUCCCUUUCCCUGCAAGGAAUGAACAAACAUUAUGCUUUUGGUGGUGGUUAGUUUUUUGGUUUUUCUUGACCCAAAACUUGUGAUAAUAAAUCAAAAUCAUAUAAAUUUUAAUAACUAUAGCUGGAACAAAUAUUAUUAGGAGAAAUCAAGUCAAUGAUUAGCCAUAAUGGUGCUCAGACAUUGCUGUCUCAGGCUCUGGGUGGAGGCCAAGUCAACGAGUCUGUAACACACUGUUAUCUUGGACUAUAUUGAACAACAUCUGGGGUUUGAUUAAAAAUAUAUUUAGCUAUACUUUCAAAUUCUUCUAUGCAGCAGAUUUAUCAUUACAGCUUUGUCCCAUUUCCCAGGGCUCAUGCUUCGUGCUCCCACUCGUUGCAUCCCAUGGCUGCUACCAGCACUGGUACAAAAUUACAGUGCCAUCAUCCACAGGUUUGUCAAAUGUUGUUUGUCACCACGAAGAGAGCUGUGGGCAGAACUGCCAACAGAUG